UAUAGUGCAACUCAACAGAUCCAUAGAUUCAAAAAUAAUUGCUCUGCAGUCAGAUACCACGUAUUGUCACAC